rnacentral:rRNA from 1 species
CACGUAGGGUGCAAGCGUUGUCCGGAAUCAUUGGGCGUAAAGAGCUCGUAGGCGGCUUAGUAAGUCGGGUGUGAAAACCCCAGGCUCAACCUGGGGACGCCACCCGAUACUGCUAUAGCUAGAGUCCAGUAGGGGAGUGUGGAAUUCCCAGUGUAGCGGUGAAAUGCGCAGAUAUUGGGAGGAACACCAGCGGCGAAGGCAGGUCUCUGGGCCACUACUGACGCUGAGAAGCGAAAGCAUGGGGAGCGAACAGG